rnacentral:rRNA from 1 species
AUUGAACGCUGGCGGCAGGCCUAACACAUGCAAGUCGAGCGAGCGGCGGACGGGUGAGUAAUGUCUGGGAAACUGCCUGAUGGAGGGGGAUAACUACUGGAAACGGUAGCUAAUACCGCAUACCAUCGGAUGUGCCCAGAUGGGAUUAGCUAGUAGGUGGGGUAAAGGCUCACCUAGGCGACGAUCCCUAGCUGGUCUGAGAGGAUGACCAGCCACACUGGAACUGAGACACGGUCCAGACGCCUACGGGAGGCAGCAGUGGGGAAUAUUGCACAAGGGGCGCAAGCCUGAUGCAGCCAUGCCGCGUGUGUGAAGAAGGCCUUCGGGUUGUAAAGCACUUUCAGCGGGGAGGCGUUACCCGCAGAAGAAGCACCGGCUAACUCCGUGCCAGCCGCCGCGGUAAUAC